rnacentral:lncRNA from 1 species
UGAAAUCAGAGAUGCCAGAGGGAUUCUUACAAAAGAAGUUGGAGACGCCAGGUGGAGUGUUACAGAUGAAGGCUGAGAUGUCAAGGUACAGUUCCCUUCAGAGAUGCUCACCUCUCCCAUUAUAAUACAUCAACAAUUAGUGCCAGAGAAAAAUGAUCCUCAACACACCACAACUGGUCUCAGGUGAUCGAGGAGGAGGAGGAUGGAGCUGGGUGCACGAGAUCUGACACCUCCUUGCCAAUUCACUACAGAGAGACAGAGCAUAGUUUCUGCCUCUGGUUUUACAGAUUGGAAGUUCAUUUCCAGCAUGAUGUCCAUCAUGAUAGAAUGAUACCUCUACAAAAAAACUAAGAACUUUCAGGUGCUCAUAUUGUGGAACUUCUCUGUAUUAUUAUGUUCUUCCUGUUUCUUCUUUUGUUUUCAUUGAAGCAUAUUGUACC